rnacentral:lncRNA from 1 species
GGGCUGCUUGGCCCCUCUCCCCUCUCUUAAGCUUCUACUUUCUUCACUCUCUCUCCUUACUUUCUUACUCUCUAAGCUUUUACCUCUCUCUCUAAGCCUUCACCUUUCUUACUCUAUAACUCUCUUUCUCUUUCCCUUCCAGCAUGGGAUGCCAGAGACUGAGAACCUGGUACCGGGGGCUGCCCCUUGUCCACCCCCAGCUGUGUGGGUCAGUGGCUUCACACAGCCAGAUGCCCACCCAAGGCACGUGGAAAGCAUCCGGCAGUCCUCCCAUGUCUGCCUGCCCAAAGCACAGGAACUCUGUUCGGACUCUGGCUAUCUCCCUCCCCGCUCUUCCCCUACAUCUAUGGCCCCACAACAGAACGGCAGGGAGCACCAUCUUGUUUCUAGUUGGGUCCUCUGUGAUGGGAACAGUGGUCUUGCUCAGCAAUUUCACCCUCAACAAAUGAAGAAAGAACAUUUUUCUCCUGGACAUGAAACUGAAGUCCAGACUGCAAAAUGGUCAGCCCUCCUUUGAGGAAGAAGGGUAUCUAGCCUCACGUUGAGUUGUCUUCCCCCACACUGCAACAGAAGCAUUGAAUCCUUCGUAAGAAGACCUUUGACCCAUGGAUGCUAAUCAGCAAGCCAGAGUCUUUAGCAGUUCUUAGUUUUGUCAGCCUCCACAACUUCAUGAGACAAUUCAUCACAAUAAAUCUCUUUCCAUGUAUGUUUAUAAAUAUUCCAAUAGUUCUGUUUCUCUGGAGAACCCUGACUGGUACAAGUGUUAAACCCAGAGGAAAGAGUAACUACUUCCAUCAGUCUGGCAGCCAGACCCAUGCCUCUUAAGGGGCGACUCUUUUUUUUUUUUUUUUCAUGAGCCAUUAUACUGUACUCCAUCAUUCACUCCAGAGAUCUCGAUGGGUGCUGGAAACUUGGUUGUAUUAUAUCAAGAUGAAAUGGAUCAGGGAGGAUACUGUGAAAGCAGAUCGAAGGCUCAUUAGAAAGGCCGGUCACAAGGCAGCUUGGAAGAUGCUGGUUCUCCUUUUCAGUACAAAGAGAUGAAAGGGAACCGAAAAGUCGGGAUGGGCAACUUGUACAAAAAAGAAGUUAACCAGCUACUUACAGGAAGAAGAGACGGAUGGGAACCAUCAGCACCAACAACUCACUGGUAGCCAUUGGAGCAGAAAAGGCCAGAGCACCACACCUCCAGGCCCCAGGGAUUUACUGGGGUAUACUAUAUGCUAAGGACCCAUUUCUGGUUUUUCAUCAUCUCUGUACCUUUCUUCUACUGCCUUUCUGUUGGAAUGACAUGGAUACUGCACUGUGAGGCAUCUCCCUGCACAUGGGACGAACAACAUUCUCUCUCCUUGAUUCUUCCUUGAAUUUUCAGAUUGACUUACAGUGAUUUCUUUCAGUAAAUUGCCUAAAUCAAGUUCUAUUUCUGAUGUUGGCAUGAAACCCAGAUCCUUUUUUGGCAUGGCUUUGCCAUUAAGCAACACCUCCACUCUCAUGUGAAUAGAUUCUAGCCUAUGAGCAGAAAUAUACUGAUGCUUCCAAACUCUAAAGUCAGCCAGCUUAAGAACCUAUGCUUACAAGAUACAAGAAAUGUGGAUCCAACCUCAGAACCUUCGAGAAGAGCCACAACUGAAUUUGAGGGAUUUUGGAAGAGUUAAAAAGUAAACUUGUUAGACUGCUGAAAAACAAUAUA